UCUUAUUAGUAUAAAAAUUACAAUUAGCUUCCAACUAAAAAAUCUCUGGAUAAGAUAA
rnacentral:tRNA from 1 species